CCUACGGGAGGCAGCAGUGAGGAAUAUUGGUCAAUGGCCGUAAGGCUGAACCAGCCACGUCGCGUGAAGGAAGAAGGCUCUAUGGGUUGUAAACUUCUUUUGUAAGGGAAUAAACGUAGAUACGUAUAGCUAUUUGAAUGUCUCCUACGAAUAAGGAUCGUCUAACUCCGUGCCAGCAGCCGCGGUAAUACGGAGGAUGCGAGCGUUAUCCGGAUUUAUUGGGUUUAAAGGGUGCGUAGGUGGUCGGGUAAGUUAGUGGUGAAAGAUUGGGGCUCAACCUGGAAAUUGCCGUUGAUACUGGUCGGCUUGAGAGUAGUUGAGGUAGGCGGAAUGUGUGGUGUAGCGGUGAAAUGCUUAGAGAUCACGCAGAACACCGAUUGCGAAGGCAGCUUACCAAGCUAUUUCUGACGCUGAGGCACGAAAGCGUGGGGAGCAAACAGGAUUAGAUACCCCGGUAGUC
rnacentral:rRNA from 1 species